AUUGAACGCUGGCGGCAGGCCUAACACCUGCAAGUCGAACGAGUGGCGGACGGGUGCGUAAUGUCUGGGAAACUGCCUGUUGGUGGGGGAUCACUACUGGAAACGGUAGCUAAUACCGCAUACCAUCAGAUGUGCCCAGAUGGGUUUGGCUAGUUGGUGGGGUAACGGCUCACCAAGGCGACGAUCCCUAGCUGGUCUGAGAGGAUGACCAGCCACACUGGAACUGAGACACGGUCCAGACUCCUACGAGAGGCAGCAGUGGGGAAUAUUGCACAAUGGGAGCAAGCCUGAUGCAGCCAUGCCGCGUGUAUGAAGAAGGCCUUAGGGUUGUAAAGUACUUUCAGCGGGGAGGCGUUACCCGCAGAAGAAGCACCGGCUAACUCCGUGCCAGCAGCCGCGGUAAUAC
rnacentral:rRNA from 1 species